rnacentral:tRNA from 1 species
UGGGUAGUCGCCAAGCGGUAAGGCACAGGAUUUUGAUUCCUGCAUUCGAAGGUUCGAGUCCUUCCUACCCAG